rnacentral:lncRNA from 1 species
AAACAUUUAUUAAAAAUGAUAUUGCAACUAUUUGAAUAAAAUAAAAAUAUUCAAUAAAAUAUUCUAGUUUCUUGUAAAAUAAUAUUUAUAGUCAUCGGUAAAUAAUUUUUAUAAUGUAAACGCUAAAUAAAUUCAUACGUACUAUAAGACAGAUAACCAGGAUAUGAAAUUUACUUUACAGUGACUCGUGGGCCCAUAAGGAACAAAAGUGCACAAAGGCAGUAAACCUAUAGUUUUUGGAGUAGUAAAGCCGACUAUAAUCCUUGAUGAUAUCUACUAUCCACAGGCUACCUCGGGCCUGAAAUGGUUAAAAAGGAGGGUGGUGAGAUUAUAGAAUCCCAGUGAGUAAACAGAUACCAUCUAAACCAUCUAAAGUCGAGUAAAUGGAGGCAGAUAAAACAAUUUAACAUACUUAAAUUCAUCACCUUUCAACUUGUUUCAACCAAAUAAAAUCAAUUCAUAUAAAUCGAGUAAUUAACAUGGCUUAUGAAUUUCUUAAAACUUUGGCUCGUGCCAAAAUCAUUAUCAUACUCAGUCAUUAGGGAUACCUUACGCGAGAGCUAUCCCAAACCGAGUCCGCCAAGGCUGUUAAAAGUUAUGUACGCAUAAAUCAUGUUUUUAUUUUGAAAACAUAGCUGUUCCUUGGCGUUGGUUGAGUUCACCCUCACGUGGUGGUUUGGGUGAAGUGAACUCUAAAAUGUUAACCUCAGGAGUUAUCCAACUGCGCCUCUCAUACUGAGGUAAGAUAUGACGGGGUUUACCGUGCCCCUCUAAUAGGCUGGUCCACGAAAACCAGCCCACUGCAGCAAGCUCAACCCCACCAUAUAAUAAAAAUUCAACAACAUGACAUGGCUAUUUUUAUUAUUAUCCAGCCUAUCAAGGCAAACAAUAGUUUAUAUAUUUCAACACAAAUACCAAUUCAGCCAUUCAUGCCAAUAUUGUCAUAAGCCAAUCAAUUAGAAUCAUAAAUUCACAACACAUCAAAUGGUUUUCAAUUACUCUAUUUUCAAAGCCAUUAUUCAAUUUCAAGACAAUUUUAUAAAAUUAUUUCAUUUAAUCACAUUUUUGCUUAUAAAACAUAAAGAUUUGCCAUUUAAACUCAUUUUUCAUAAAUCACAAAAUCGGAUAAAAACCACUUUAGAUAAUUAACACGAUAGUAAGGUUACUCACAGUACUAAGAGUUCGAUAUACUCCUAUUCCCGAUCUUCGAGCACAAUCUCUUUACCCUUGUUAGAGGGCUCACCAUCUAUACAUCAUACGUGACACGAAUUUCAAUAAAUUGUGUCAAUUUAUCAUAAACUAUUUCAAGCUCUAUAAAUCUAUAUGAAUGCACUAAAUGUGAUGCAAAAUGUCCGAAUAGCUGUUUAAAUACGAUAUUCGACCUAAUUUGCACUAUUCUCGGUGUAAUUGGCUAAAACCUCCAAUUUAACUCCAAAUCAAUUUCUUUUACUUUCUACACUCCAAUUAUACUUAAAAUACCUCAAUGACUGUGAAUAUGAUUCAAUUUAUUAGUCCGAACCAUAAAUCGCACAUGUCUAUACAUUAGGUAAACAUUCAGAUUUUCAUUCCAAAAUUUCCCAUUAAAUUUCUAGCCUCACCAAUCAUUAAAUACCACUAAAAUAUCAUGAAAUAUCAUCAAUUUCAGCCUCAAUAUCCUCCCUAGAAAACUCAGCCUCUUGUGGGUUUGUGAAGAACAAAGUGAUUCCUUGCUAGAUUUUCAUACUUUCCAUUACCAAACAACCAAAAACACUUAAUUAGCUUGAAAUCUAGCAAAAUCAAUGCUCAAAACCUCUCCUCUCAAAUUUGGCCAGCAUUGGUUCAUCAUGUAAACUUGAGUUCUAAGCAUGGAAAAUGAAAAAGAAAGCAUGGGUAGUGUAAAUCACAAGGUAAAAUCACAAAAUCUUACCUUUAUUAGCUUAAUCCCUUGAAAUCCCACACUUUUUCUUCAAUUUUCCUACCUAGGGUUUGUGUUCUUUCCUUUCCUCUUCAGUUCAUGCUUUGGC